CUCAUACGUUUCAUCACCGCUACUUUGUAAAACCCUAGAAAACUCUUCAGAUCUUGAAUCCCAAUCCUAAUCGCCACCCAAAAGUUGCCUGUAAAGAUUGUUGUAAGUUUCUGUAUCCGAUUCGAAGUUCUUGACAUUUGAUUUUGAUAUUGGUUCUGGAAGAGAGCCACCCCUCUUUUGUUUUACGCAUAAAUCCUCCAUUCUAUGUUUUGAUAUGAAGCUAACUCAAUCCACAAUCAAGGUUUCAAAGAAGAAAUUUAUGAUUUCCAUUUCCCCAUCGCAUUCGUCGUUUCAAAUCUCUAAACCUCUGAUUCGUUGAACCCUAAAUCAUUCCUUCAUUCGCCAAACCCUAAAUCCUUCAUUCGCGAAACCCUAAAUCGUUUCGAUUUCCCCAUUGCUGUGUCUCCUCUUCCUUUACCAGUGAACCCUAAAUCCAUCUCCCCAAAUCCUCUCAUCUUCCCCAGCAAUAUUCUGUCAGUAGAUCUAAAUCGGAACUAAUAUUGUAACGACUUGAGGGUUGCCAUGCUAGCGGCUAUGGUUCAUAUUUGAUAGCAAUCGUUGAUUUAGUUUGGUGUUCAGCAAUUGAAAGACUAUCAUCCGACCUUUUGGUUGGAGGGGACUCGAUUUACUUAAAGAAAGCUUUUAGCAACUCAAUGAUAUGCAACUUCAAAGAGACUUGACUAUCUUCAAAUUGUAUAUGCACUUUCUCAGUAAUUUAUGUCUGGAGUGGAAUAGCGGGUUCCUUCAACAUUCGGCACCACCAAAGCUGUCAAGGUAAAGACCCAGAUUACAUAUAAUAUUGGACUUAAAUGUGUGUGUGUGCGCGCGCGUGUUUUAGGUGGCACGCGGUCCAUUUGUGUGUUUGCUGAUGAGUGAUGAGAUGGGAAGCAGUUCGGUUUCUCCGCUAAUCGUGACAGGUGGAAAAGGCGGAGAUGUCGGAGUUCAUGAUCUCCGUUACAUAGCCACACGAAACCAAAAAAACACAAAAAUUCUGAUAACGAUGAACAAAAGUUCAGUGCAUCUUCAACCGCAGGUUUGCAUAAUAAACACAUGGAUCAAAAUGGAAAUGGAAUAUUGUGGUACAUACCAAAAGCUCACUCUGGGAAUGUAACAAGAAUAUCGGCUAUUCCAAAUACGAGUUUUUUCUUAACUGGAAGUAAAGAUAGAGAUGUAAAGCUAUGGGAUGCUAAGAGGGCAACAUUGGUAUAUCACUGGCAAAAAAAUGCACGGUAGACACACCUUCAUUCAACCUAGCUCUAGAGGAUUUGGAGGAGUUGUUAGGUUAAGCUGGUUUAACUUAGAGAUUUACUAUAAUCCACUUGGCCCAUGUCUGUCGGCCCAUCGUCGGCGUCCUGUUUUUGGUGCUGUUCCAACGAUACGAGUAUGUUCUAUGGAAUGAAGUUCUUCAAUGACUUACUAAUGGAAGCUGGCCCGAUCGUAAAUAUACAGUCGGUAGUACUACUACAAAAAGAUUAGAACACAUUCACUUUCAUGCAAGGAUUGUGCAAGGAUUGACUGAGUUGCCUUAACACUCGUCAUAACGCUAAAUCUUUUGGUGUUCAGCAAUUGAAAGACUAUCAUUCGACCUUUUGGUUGGAGGGGACUCGAUUUACUUAAAGAAAGCUUUUAGCAACUCAAUGAUAUGCAACUUCAAAGAGACUUGACUAUCUUCAAAUUGUAUAUGCACUUUCUCAGUAAUUUAUGUAAUAUGCCACUUUGUUUGUAUUUUAUUUUAUUUAAUUUAUACACUUAUGGUUAUGAUCAAAAGUCAUGUGUUAUUUUUAACUUUUAAAUUCUAUUUAUUUUGGAAGCGUCCAGAACCCAAA